rnacentral:misc_RNA from 1 species
GAUGAAGAACGUAGUGAAAUGCGAUACGUAAUGUGAAUUGCAGAUUUCAGUGAAUCAUCGAGUCUUUGAACGCACAUUGCGCCCCCUGGUAUUCCGGGGGGCAUGCCUGUCCGAGCGUCAUUGCUGCCCUCAAGCACGGCUUGUGUGUUGGGCCUCCGUCCUCCUCCCGGGGGACGGGCCCGAAAGGCAGCGGCGGCACCGCGUCCGGUCCUCGAGCGUAUGGGGCUUCGUCACCCGCUCUUGUAGGCCCGGCCGGCGCUUGCCGACACAUCAAUCUUUUUUCCAGGUUGACCUCGGAUCAGGUAGGGAUACCCGCUGAACUUAAGCAUAUCAAUAAGCGGAGGA